AGUGAACGCUGGCGGCGGGCUUAACACAUGCAAGUCGAACGAGAACGGGAUAUAGCUUGCUAUAUUUGUCAGCUAAGUGGCGCACGGGUGAGUAAUGUAUAGAUAACCUGCCCUCUAGAAAGGAAUAACAGUUGGAAACGACUGCUAAUGCCCUAUAUGCCUUUAAUACAUAAGUAUGCAAGGGAAACGCUUUAGUGCUAGAGGAUGGGUCUGUAUGGUAUCAGCUUGUUGGUGAGGUAAUGGCUCACCAAGGCUAUGACGCCUAACUGGUUUGAGAGGAUGAUCAGUCACACUGGAACUGAGACACGGUCCAGACUCCUACGGGAGGCAGCAGGGGGGAAUAUUGCACAAUGGACGAAAGUCUGAUGCAGCAACGCCGCGUGGAGGAUGACACAUUUCGGUGCGUAAACUCCUUUUAUAUAGGAAGAUAAUGACGGUACUAUAUGAAUAAGCACCGGCUAACUCCGUGCCAGCCGCCGCCGUAA
rnacentral:rRNA from 1 species